rnacentral:hammerhead_ribozyme from 1 species
GCACUAGUGAGGAGUCCCAAAAUAGGACGAAACGGCUGUCCAGUGC